GCGGAGGAAAAGAAAAUAACAAUGAUUCCCUUAGUAACGGCGAGUGAACAGGGAGAAGCUCACAGUUGGAACCUGUCUGACUUAGUCAGUCCGGAUUGUAAACUGAAAAAGUGUUUUCCAGGCUAGCCGAGUAAAAAAGUUCCUUGGAAUAGGACAUCAUGGAGGGUGAGAAUCCCGUCUUUGGCUCGAGCAUAGUCUUUUGUGUUGCACUUUAAAGAGUCAGGUUGUUUGGGAAUGCAGCCUAAAGUGGGAGGUAAAUCCCUCCUAAAGCUAAAUAUUGGCGGAAGACCGAUAGCAAACAAGUACCGUGAGGGAAAGAUGAAAAGAACUUUGAAAAGAGAGUUAAACAGUAUGUGAAAUUGCUAAAAGGGAAGCGUUUGGAGACAGACUGGCUUGUCUAAAAUCAGCCUGGACCUUGGUCUUGGUGUACUUUUGGACUAUCGCCUGCCAACAGCAGUUUGGUCUGGCUGAAAAAACUGGUAGUAAGGUGGCUCCUCCGGGAGUGUUAUAGACUGUCAGAAAAUCAGUUGGACUAGACUGAGGAAUGCAAUACGGCUUGCCUUGUGGUCGAGUAGGGUGGAUUUGGACCUUUGUCCGAUGAAGUUCUACUAUGGCUGUUUGAACUGUAUUUAGGUUGUUGGCUUAAUGUCUCUAAACGAC
rnacentral:rRNA from 1 species